CCAGCGAAGGUGCCGGGAGCCGAGCCCUCCCCGCCGGCGCGGCCGUCAUCGCCCUGAGCGGGAGCGCGGGGGAGGCGGGCGCAGCCAGCUCUGCCGCGCAGGAGCAGGAGGAGGAGAAAGGGUGCGCAGCCCGGAGGCGGGGUGCGCCGGUGGGGUGCAGCGGAAGAGGGGGUCCAGGGGGGAGAACUUCGUAGCAGUCAUCCUUUUUAGGAAAAGAGGGAAAAAAUAAAACCCUCCCCCACCACCUCCUUCUCCCCACCCCUCGCCGCACCACACACAGCGCGGGCUUCUCGCGCUCGGCACCGGCGGGCCGGGUGCGUCCAGCCUUCAUUUAUCAAGCAGCUUUUCGGAAAAUGCAUUUGCCGUUCGGAGUUUAAUCAGAAGAGGAUUCCUGUCCCCGUCCCCGGCUCGUCCACCGGCCCCCGGUCCCUGUCUCUCUCCCGUGGAGGCGUGAAGCGGCCCCGCGGAUAGAAAUCCAUGUCCGUGCCCGCGCGUGUGUGUGCGUGUGUAAAUUGCCGAGAGGGGAAAAAUCACAGGACUUCUGCAAAUCCCGGACUGAAAAUUGUAAUUCAUCUGCCGCCGCCGCUGCCUUUCUUUUCUCGUGCUCUUGAGAUCUCUGGUUGGGAUUCCUACGGAUUGACAUUUCUGUAAAGGAGAAGUCUGGGAAUCAAACUGGAAAUUCUCCUAAUUUUUACACCUCCUCCCCCAGCUCCUGAUUCAUUUGGAAGUUUCAAAGCAGCUAUAACUGGAGAGUUCUGAAGAUUGAUGGAAUCUUUGCCUUAUGCAUUUGUUUUGUUUUCACAAAAAGGAAACUUGACAGAGGAUCAUGCUGUCCUUAAAAAAUACAAGUAAGUUCUUUGCACAGAAAAUUGGCUUAAUGUAACUUUCAAUGGAAACAUUUGAGAUUUUAACUUUUAAGUGCAUUCGAGUAAGUUUAAUUUCCAGGCAGUUUAAUACAUUCUUUUCAGCUGUGUAACUUGUAGUGUGUUAAGCCCUGCUUUCACCCAGUGUAUAAAGGGAAAUGCACCUGAUUUUGACUGAUUAGUUUUUUUAACCUUUCAGCAUCACGGGGGAAGUAGACUGAUAUUAACAAUAAUUAAUAAUGUGCCUCAUGAACUAAAGAUCCGAAAGGAAUUUAAAUAAAAAUUUCCUGCAUCUCAUGCCAAGAGGGAAACACCAGAAUCAAGUGUUCCGCGUGACUGAAGACACCCCCUCAACCAAGAAUGCAAAGCACAUCCAAUAAAAUAGCUGGAUUAUAACUAUUCUCUCUUUCGGGGCCGUGGGGUGGGAAGCGGGGGCGAGAGGUGCUGUUGGUACCCGGCUGCUUUUCCUCUGGGAAAGGAUGGCGCACGCUGGGAGAACAGGGUAUGAUAACCGGGAAAUAGUGAUGAAGUACAUCCACUAUAAGCUGUCGCAGAGGGGCUACGAGUGGGAUGCCGGAGACGCGGGCGCCGCGUCCCCGGGGGCCGCUCCCGCACCGGGCAUCUUCUCCUCCCAGCCCGGGCGAACCCCCGCUCCCGCCAGGACCUCGCCGCCGCCGACCCCGACCGCCCCCGCCGCCACCGCCGCCGCCGCCGCCGCCGCGGGGCCUGUACUCAGCCCGGUGCCACCUGUGGUCCACCUGACCCUGCGCCAGGCCGGCGAUGACUUCUCUCGUCGCUACCGCCGCGACUUUGCCGAGAUGUCCAGCCAGCUGCACCUGACUCCCUUCACCGCGAGGGGACGCUUUGCCACGGUGGUGGAGGAGCUCUUCAGGGAUGGGGUGAACUGGGGGAGGAUUGUGGCCUUCUUUGAGUUCGGUGGGGUCAUGUGUGUGGAGAGCGUCAACCGGGAGAUGUCGCCCCUGGUGGACAACAUCGCCCUGUGGAUGACUGAGUACCUGAACCGGCACCUGCACACCUGGAUCCAGGAUAACGGAGGCUGGGUAGGUGCAUGUGUGGUUGAAUGUGAGUCUGGGCUGCGCGUUAAGGGUCUGAGAUGCAGUGGUUGGAGUGUGGGUGGGCUGCUCGACCAAGGGCGGGCGGAUGAGCCAGUGCUAUAAAAUCAGGUUUGUGGCUUCCCUCCCCAUUUCCCCUGUUCAGAGCUCUCUCCCUGCCAACCGUACUGUGAUCAUUCCUUCCCGCCAAAACUGUUUGCCUUGCUUGCCAACCGUUGAGUUUCAAAGAUCCAGGCUUUGCUAUUCAGUAGGCUCUUGGGAUAAUGGUAUCCCUUCAGUGUUUUUCAAACUGGGAGUCCAAGGAUCCCCAGCAUUACUGUACCUGGCCUGAGUAGCUCCUUGAAAUCAGAGACAGGGCCAACUCAUAAACUGACCUCAGGCUGGGCCCUGGGAAUCUGCAUCAGAAAUAAGCCCCUCUGGGGGUUUCUUCUUUGUACUAAGAUGUGAGAACCACCCAAUUAGAAGAACAGACUCCCCCAGAAGACCAAGGUCAUGCCUUCUCCUCACUUGGUAACAUCUACCCAAAGAGGAAAACCAAUGGAGCCUAUUUCCCUGAAAAUCUUGGAUGUUUGUGAAAAGGUAAAUUGUAAGUUGACUUUCCAAAAGUCCGGCCAUUCCAAGCUGCAAUGUGAGCCACAUUCCCAGUGGGCAUGACCCAUUGUCUUGAAGAACACUCAUCUAUGGGUGUUUAUUUCAUCAGUGGCAGAAUUUGCAUUCGCUGCACGCUUUGUGUUCUAUUUCUAUAACUUGUGUAUGAUUUUGAGGUUUACUGGAAUUUUACUGUCUUACUUUUCACCAACUAGAAUUCACAUCAUUUUGGGUCUUCUCUGCUGGAUAAACGUGAAUCUACAGUAUCUAUAUAAAGCAUAGAAGAAUUGAUUCUUAGCUAUGGAUUCCUGUGCUCUGACUUUAGUUGAAGUGAUUAAUGCCUGUAUCUUUGAAGAACAUGUGUGAGCAUAUUUUUUUUUUUCUGGUAUUGUGCUAGGUAGAGCCUUCAUUAUGUCACCAUAAAUUUCUUUUUGGGUGUAUGAUUCUUUGGGGGUGGGGUACAGGUCCUAAGACUGAAGAAGUGUAAUUGAAGUCUAUACUUUAUAUAUCUAAAAUUAUUAAUUUAUGAAAAACCAAGAAAAGGAAUAAUUUUUGUCUGAAGUUUUUGCAGACUUUUUGUUUUAAUCUAAACAAUUGUCUUUGAAAAAGGAUGCAGUUCAGUGAGAAUUGCAUCCUUUAUUAGGAGGAUUAUAGGGAGAAUUACUAAUGCUAUUAUUUUAUGGAAACUAACAGGAGCAAAAAGCCUAGCAGUUACUAUAAGUGGAUUGGAUUUCAAGAUGCACAUUACAUAUUUUACUACAGUUUACAAAGUGUGCUAAUAUUAAGGGGCCAAAAAGAGAAAAGGCCAAGAAAAGUAGAUGACUGACAUGAACAUCUGAUCCUACUUGACCAAAGUUGACAAAAUAUUGAUGCCACUGUUCAGUGUUUAAAAGUAAACAUCCCCAUUUCAUCUCUAAAAUUUAAAUGCUUUUUGUGAGUUGUUUGUUUUUUGAGAUCCCAUACUACCAGAUCUUUAGUAAUUCUGGAAGAAUGCAGUAAACGGUGAAAAGAAUAUUUUUGUAAAAUGUUUGGUUAAGUAGGUGGUUUUAUUUUUAACCACCAUAACCAAAGAGGUAGGGACUUCCAGACGCCAAAGGGAUCAUUUUAAGACCAAAGUAAAGCUAAUUUAACAGUUUUAUUCUUUCAUAUUUUUUGUGAAAAAAUGUUAAACCAUUUUUCUUCCUAGCUGAAAGAAGUCCAAGGUGGUAACUGUCACAUGUUAAGUAAUUUAAUCAAAAGAUGGGAAGCAGAGACCUAUGUUUAUGAUAGAAAUUAAGAUAUAAUCUUGAUCUUCAUUGUUGAGCUGUGGUAUAUUAACAUCUCGUACAGUUGAAUUUUCUUUUUGAGUGAAGACUCACUUUUUCCUCCUUUCAAAAUAGAGUUUUCUUAGUAGAGCCUGUCUUUGUGGUCAACAGGUAUCUGAGGUUGAUAAAUGUAGAGGCUACAUUUUAUGAUGCCAAACCACAUGACAUACCAUAGAACAUGAUAAACUUUUUUUUUUUGACAAAACCUCUUAUAGUAAGAAUAAAUCAUAUAGAAGUACAAAUAGCUGAUGUUGAAAUAUGUAGUUUUCAGAACAACACAUAGAUGGAUGACUAGGUAGGAAAACAAAGGACUUUGGCCAAAAAGUAUAUAUACAUGUAUAUAUAUCAGGAAGUACAAUCAUAAAUGGAUACUUUGGAAUAAAAGUAACAGCAUUUGGGAGUCUGAUUUACUUAUCCUUUCAGAGGUGCAUUAUUAAUCUAAAUUUUUAUUUUAAGCAUUUGGCAUAUAGACAAAAUUUCCUCCAGAUUUAUACCAAUCAGCUAUGUUUCAUCUUACAGUACAGAGGACUCAAUAAGGAUGGUGAAGCUUCAGAAGAGAGCUAGCACAUUCUUUUGUCAUGGGACGAUGACUCUGACUCAGUGGAUCAGCUCAUCUACUGAAUCUGUACUAAUGGGGGCUUUAGACUUGAAGUCAUAUUUUUUCUUUGCUGCUGAAGAAUAGUUUGCAUUCCACGUUCCAUAACUUGGAGAAAGCAGGGCCUUGGACUGAUAGGGGUCUGAAAGAUGGUCCCAGAAGCCUACAAAUUAAGUAAAGACUAAAGACAAAAUUGGAUGUAGAGUGGAGUGGGGCUUUAUUCCUCAGUCUGAAGAAGGCAUCCAGAGGGAGACAGGACAGCAGAGCAUCGAGAUGGCAGCAGCAUUAGGAGAUGUCUAAGAUCCUACUCUUCCAAGUGUGGUUCACAGACCAGCAGCCUAGACAUCACUUGGGAACUUCUUAGAGAUGCAGGGUCUCAGGUCCUACCCCAGAGCUUCUGAGUCAGAAUCUGUGGUUUCCACAUCUACAGGUGUGUGUAUACACAUAAAAGUGAGAAAUGCUGGCCACCAUCACCAACCAUUGAAUCCUGUGCAUGUCUUUUAGGAAAAAUGACAAUCUGGGAUAGAUCCUGUAAGUGUCCCUUUCCAGUGGCCUCACGGGUCCAUAGCAUUACAUAGAAUACUGCGUAUUUCCUAGGUGUCCACAAGAGUGUUCUGACCCUUGAAAGAAAUAGACUGGAAUGAAAGAGAGAUAGGAAAGAAAUGAUUAUAUGCCCUGUCCCCUCAAGAAUGUUUUUCAUGGUAGCUUUGCAAUCUGUAUUGGCCUUACUGACCCCAUUAAAGGAAGACAGCUUUUCUGUUCCAGUUAAAAGACAGGAACUUUUACUCUUUCUAUAGCUCCAUUAGGUAUUUGAUUCUCUUGUAACACAGUUCAAAUUCUAUAGAAGAGUUUAGAACUUCUUCAUGACCAAGGGGCUCUUGCAAGUGGUGGGUUGAGAUUUGGGUGAGAUGAUGGUGCCUGAAUAUUGAUAGCAUCCUCCAAACUGAGAAAUGUGACCAACAUUUUUGCUUCAUGUCUUAGAAGAGAGAUGUCUGAUGAUUGCAAGAAUGAGAUGCCUUAAAUAGGCAGUUGGCUUCAUUCUGUUGAUGAGAUGGUGCUGUGACUUUUUGUGUGUGUUUAUCUUUUGGUCUUUGUGGUUUAGGAAGACAGGAACUUACUUCUCCACAUCCAGUAGAGGUUAGCUUCCUUUUUAUUAGUUGGUCAGCAAGCAGUUUCUCGUUUCUGUGUGUUGUCUACAUCCACCCAAAAGUGUGAUUAACUGGAAGGUAAUACCAUUCUUGGGCCAGUGUGCAUCAUUUUUCUAGUGGCUGAGUAUCAGCUGCUUAUGGCCAAUUAUGGCCGCAAAAUGACAGGAUUAAAAAUAGCUUGAAGAUGAUCCAGUCUUCGAUAAUAUAUUUAAUGAUGAACUUUCCUUGGGAAAGUGCAUCUUUCUGCCUGCUAAGAAUCACAUGGCCCCUUUCAAUAAUUUAUUUUGUGGAAAAUACACGUUAUUGCUUUUGCAGUCAUGUGCUGUUGAGUGAUUACAUUUGGGGACUUUUGUAAAAUGUUAUAGUUCACUCAGUUCUCUUUUCUGUUUUAGGGCAUUUGUUCUAUUUAGUAUCGGUCGAAAACAUGUCUUUCUUCUGCGCAUCCUGUUACUUGUAGCUGUGCUUUCUAGUGAGAACUGAUUGAUCUUUUUAGUAAUCCUUGAUUGACCUGGAACAUUUCAGAUUGUUCAAAUGUCAUUAGGCCACACAGUGCACCAGGUAACAGAAAGCCACAGAUUUUUUUUUUUUUUUUAAGCCAAAUCUCUUUGAGUUUCUCUUUAUCUCUACUCCCAGUCCUAGUCAGCUUUUUGGAGGAAUGAUAAACCCACUCGUGAAGCAGGCAUGUGGGUGCUAUGUGUAUUAAUAGCAGUGUCUCCCACUCAGAGCACCCCCACACCCACUUCCGAGGGCACCCAUUGUGUCUUCACAAGAGUUUAGCAAAGCGAUAUUUCAGCAGAAGUGUAUUUGUGCUAGAAAAACAACACUGUCUUUGUAGUAUGCAAGUAAAAAGGCUUUUUUUUCCCCCCUCAGAGAUAUAUUGUAUUUGAGGUUCAAAGGUUCUGUUAAACCUUUUUAAAGUAAUCUAAUAUCACCUUAUUCAGGUAUAGCGGUAACCUUGCGAGCUGGUCACCCUUUCCCCCAGCUAUACACAGGAGACCACUCAGAGAACUGACUCCGCUACGAAGCUUCUUUUUCAUUCCUCUUGGUUUGAUUCAAACCAAAUCAGUGCUUGACCUCACAACAGGAUUAACGAUGAAAGUCAGCCAAGGACUGAGACAGUAAUUCAACCAAUGUGAUUGCAAGUCUUCUGUGUGCCCAGCCCUGGGUUAGAUUGGGGGUCAGGGAGAAACGCUCCCCCCCUCUCCAGCCCUGGAUACUCUCAUAGGCUGAUGCUAGAGAUGUCCACGUGAACUCAGAGUUGCCACGCAACCUGGUAAGCAUGAUUUUAAACUCUCAGAUUUAGAGGGAGAAAGAAAAAGAAAAAAUAAAAUAAAAUAAAAAACUUAAGUAUGUGCUAUUUUGCAUAAACUUCCAUCUUUGUCUGAAAAAGUUAUUUCUAACCAUAUGGCUCUUCAUGUGUGUAUUAGGCCUGAUUUAACUAGGAGGAGAAAUAGUUUUUUAAAAAGACUGUGUUACACGGACAUACACUUAAGAGAACCGAAAGGCAGGGGGAGUUCCCUUGUUAAAUAUUUACCCUUUGGGCACUCCUUAUACAUAUUACGAAGACUUAAUAAACACUAAUCUGCAGUUUUUCAAGUAUUUCAUUAAUUGUUUCAAUAGAAGACAAUCAAGGCUCUGAUUAGGAUGAGUAGAAUAGAUUGCUUUGAAGAAAUAUCUUUCUUAAAUCCUUCUGGUAUGCAGAAAAAUACGAGUUGAUCUGAACCAGAACAGAGGAGAGAGGAAAAAACAAAGCUUUUGUUUUGGUUUGGUUUUAGGUUCUAGUAGUGUUCUGUUUAUUAAGAGGCUUCUCUUCCAAAAUGCAACUCAUAGAAAUUCCCGGCUCACUGGGACAUGUGUGUUCCCGAAGUGCAGGUGUUUACUGUCUAACUUCUUUUAUUCGUCGGCCCCUUCUUUAACUGGAGGUUGUAAAACUUUUGAAAUCACAACAUAGCUGUUUUCAUUUUUUAAAGUAUUUUUUUGUAGAUCGCCACUUGUUCUGAUCUGUGCUCACCUCUCUAGUGCCAGCAUGAUUUCUCUGCUCUUUAUUUGCCAGACAAAAGAGAAACCCAGCUGUCUUUCAGUGAGCAUGAUGCUGGAAUGAUUGUUUCUAUCUCUCCAAAGCCAUGUAGAAUUUCUCAUCAGGACCACUCCCACCCCCGACCAGGGUCCCCCACCUGCCCAUCACCCCAGCACAGGGAGACCUCCAAGGGGGAGCUCCUUGAUACUCACCAACAUGGGUAAGGUAGGACUGUGUCUACGCAAGAGCGUUGUGUCUAGGUAACCAGCAAGAGGGAGCAGAGAAGGGGUGGGUCAUAGCUAGAAUAUUAUGACCCCUGCUCCAGUCUUACUACAGGCAGCCGGGCAAGGAAAAAUUCUGUCGUUAGAUCUGAUGCUUUCCUUCCAGAGCUCAUAAAUUCCAGCCCUAUGCAGGGGAUAAGAUAGAAUCUGCUAGAAGAAUUUGUACUAGCUCUGGUCUCUGCAGUGUUAGAGGCGAGUGAGGGUUAUGCUCUAGCCUAAGAUAAAGUUUGACUAACUAAACUUAACUAAAAUCACUUAUACUAAAAACUGCUUUCCCAGAUGCCCUCUUAAACACGGUAGAAAGGGAAUGUCCCUGACCUGCUGGGGUGGCCCUUUGUAGCAGUGCACCAAGAGCUCCUUGGGUGAUUUUCUUACGUGAUUGGCUAGAUUCUACGAGAAAGUUCGCUGGUAUUUCCAUUCUGCUCCUUGUUUUGCCUUCAGACUUUCAGGGAUGGAGCCAUAUUCCAUUUUUAGUUAAUAAUGAACUCUCUGGGGCUUCAACAUAAUGAGUCAGAGGCUUAUGCCGGACUCCACUCUCCUCUUUACUUCGUCUCCUGAAAGCAACCCAAGGACCCACAGUGUCAAGUGAAGCUUACAUUUUCCGAAGGAGAUUUCACCAUUGAGACCAAUACUUCUUUCUUGUGAUGGUUCGAAUUACUACAUUUUUUUCUGUUUUUAACUGUCUUGUCUUAAGCUGCAAAAGAAUAUGGGGAGUUUAUGACUUGGGGAAUGCUUGGAAGACCAAACAAAGCAUCAGUGUUGCAGGGUCUCUCUUCUUGAUUUUAUCCGACUCUUCCUCACCAGCACUAAAGGUUUCUUCUGCUUUUACAGAACGAUGAAUGUCAUAUUCAUGUAUUGCCUUUGAAACUGAAUUGCAGCCAGAUAUUCCACCCAGCUGCAUUAGAAUUUUCAAAGCGAAAAUACUUAGUCCUCUUAAUUCAAUGCCUUCUGACAAUUAGGGUAGGAAAAAAUUAAUUACAAAUUAUAUCACCAUCUUUAGAUAUUGAUUUUUUUAUCUCUUGGGGAAAAAAAGCAAGUCCAUAAAGGAUGCCAGGUGGCACCUCUAAGUCUAAAUUUUUAGGACUACGUCCUAGCCAUUCUCUUUAUGAAUUCCUGCUGGCAUUUCUCUCUCUCUCUCUCUCCCUUUCUCUUUCUCUCUCUCUUUCUCUCUAACACUUAAAACUUUCAAAGGCAGUUUUGAGCUAUUUUUAACAAAAUUUUAAGUAUAGUGAGGCAGAGCCUCUUACUAAAUAUUAAAGUGACUGUAUAAAAAGAAAACAAUGGGAAGAGGUCUUAAGGAAGACGAGCAAUUGUUCGCUAAUCUUAACUCCGAGUUCCUAGCAACCAGGGCAGUGGUGGGAGAAUAAAGAUCUUGUUAUUUUGUAGCACAUGCACACUACCCUUUUCCAUUGAAAAAACAUUUAUUGGGGGUCUACCAUGUGCAGAGUUCUAUGCCAGGUGUUUCAUCUGUGGAAGAAAACCUCUGCCUCUAAGGAAUUAGCCAACCAGUAGUGAGACUGAGAUGUGUAAAUUGCUGUGAUCCUUGACACACUUUAGUGGGCGGAACCAUCUGGUCCAGCUGGAAGAAGGGGAUCUGGAUGAGUUUUGGUGGGAGAUAUGGAGAGAGGGCAUUUCAGGUAGCUGGAUGGGCCUGGAGGAGUCAGAGCAGGCAGGAAUAUGUGAGGCGUCCCUGGGGACUUGGAAAGAGUCUGACGAGAUUGGGGCAUGGAGAUUUCUUGUGAGAAAAGACUGGAUCGUAAGUUGAGAGGUCUGUGUUGAAUUUGGUCGAUGUUAAUAGGUUCUUGAAAGGGUUCUGAGACAAGGUGGGGUAUGUAGGCUGGUGGAAGAUUGACAGUGGCUGAGGUUGGAUAGUGGGAGACCAAGGAAGAGGUUUGGACCAGGGCAGGGGGAGUGGGGAUGUGGACCCCAAGGACUGACAACAGAUUGAACAUGGGAAAUGAGGGAGGGAAAGAAGCAAAGAAUGCAAAUUCCAAACCCAGGAUAAGAAAAAUGACCGUUUUGUGGGGUAAAUGUGAUGAAAUUCAUUUUGGACAUUUUCAUCUUGAGCUUCCCAUAGGGUAUCCAUCGGAAAUGCCCAGGAGCAGUUGGUCUUCAGGAUCUAGACCUGGAGAGAGACAUUGGGGCUGGAAUACACCCUGCUUUUCCCCCAAACCCUGUCAACUCCCCCCUUUUCUUCUUUUGUUUCCAAAAAUGGUCCUAGCUGCUGCUGCUGAUUCUGCCUUCUUUUAUUAACCACUCUUUCUACACCACCUUUCCCCCAAAGUCCUCUGUAGAGGUCUAUGGAUUGAAUUAAGGUGAUUAACUUGAAGUUUUACUGUUCAAAGCUUGGCUCCCCACUACCAGUUUGCCUACUUAAAGAUAACUCAACUGGAGUUAGAUUACUGUUGUUUCAACAUCCUAGUAGUGUUCUCCGUUUGCAGAUUCUUAGACAGUCCAGGAGUUCUCCUGCACUGGUACUUGCUGACUUAAUAGCAGUUCUCCUAGUAUAUUGAACCCGCACCUAGCAUAGUAGAUAGUAGGUGCACACAAUGAUUGUUGAUUGAAUAAAUGAAUUAAUAAAAGUGAUAGGAUAGAGGCCCUUUGGACAUCAAACUCAUCCUCUCCACUCAUUAUAUAGAGUAUAUAUGUUCCACUCUCUAAUGUUCCACUGUAGGGACAUAUGUGUUCCCACUGACCCAUCCUAUGGAUUCUGUUAAUAUUCAGUAGAAGUGGACAAAGAAAACUACCUCAAUGUUUUGAUUUCAUCCUUUAUCAUUGAAUUGAAAAAGUAAGUCAUUCAUACCUGAAAAGAAAUCUUCUAGAUUUUGCUUGAUCUUAAACAUUCAACUUUAAUGAAAGUCCUCACUGCUAAUAUGAGAGAUUAGCACAUCUCUGAUCACAUUGUAUCUGUUUGUACAAAGGAUACACGCACACAGUCAGACAUAUAUGUGCAUACUUGCUCUCAUUUCUCGGGUUUUGUGUCUCCAGCCCUGUUCAGACAGUCAGAGCCUUGUCAUCUAAACUUCUUCAUUACCUCAUCCUGAAAGAAAGCAGGGCUUGUCCAUGGUUCUCACAGUGGGGGACAGAGUGGCUUUUCCUCUGUUAUUAGUAUUGUAACUCAAAUAUAAAAGAACUAUAGCAUACAAGUCACAAGGAUAAAUGGUCCCCUAGUUCUCCUCCCCUAAAAACAAGUAGCCAAUUGGAGAUGGGGGUCAGUAUAACUCGGUAUGUCCAGAGCAGAGGGAUGCUGGGAUUUUAUUUCUCCAGACACUGGCCAAUGGGAAGAUUACUAGGAGUGGUAUGGAGCAAACCACUGGGCUGACAGGUUUGGGCUCCAUCCUCUGUUCUGGUUGAAGCAAGCAUCACAGCCUUUCUGUGGUUUUUAAGAACUGGUGGAAUUUGCAUUUUGAGAAUCCUUAUUCCUUGGCAUGAAGCAAACUCAAAAGCAUCGUUGCUCAUCAUUUGUCAUCUGUUUGAAAAAGAUUAUGUGAUUUGUGCACUUGUCAUGAAGCUUGACCAUACUUCUGGGGCUUACAGAUGUGAGUCCCUGUGAAAGAAACCACAAGCAAAUUCUCUUUUCUCCCCUAUCUUUACUUCUUCCCUCUCGUUUCUUCAAUGGCCAUCUGUGCAUUAUGUUACCACUGCCAGACCCUCUUCAAGUGGCUUAUCUAUGAGUGAAUUCAGAAACUUCAAAUUAUAAAGGACACCCAGAUAAUUGGCCCGUUCUCCAGAGUAUCUGUCCCCUGUGCUGCUGCCAGAUUCCUUCUUAAUGAAUACAUCCAGUGACAGUGGGAUUCUUGAUCCUCCGGAUCCGUGAGAAAAUGAGCUUCCCUGCUUUGUAACAGCUUGCAGCUCUGGGGGAAAAAAAAUGACAGCCAUUGCACAAGUUUCCUUUGAAUGUAGUUUUCUUUCCCAUAAAUGAUACUUUGAGACUAUACUUAAGGGGUUAUUAGUUUUCUAUUUCAUGCUUGGCCUGUGUGUGAUAAUAACACAAGCUGUCACUGCAAAUCAGCAGCUAAACACGCUCUGUCUGGUUAAUGCGAGCAUUUCAUAUUUGGCUCAAUUAAAAAUUAACUGAUGAAAGUACAUGUCAAAUGGAAUUUGAAAAUACCUUUUGUAGGGAAGAUUGAAAGGGCAUGGCCAAUGAGUAAAUUAGUGGUUUUCAAAUGUGAGGAUUUUGGGGACAUUUAAUACGAGUUGGGACACUUGACUCUUCUCUCAAAUCUCUCUACCUGUUUGAAAAGGAUGUUCCCAUCCAUAUCAUGAAGGGCUCGAUUGCAUCUGUGUGUUUACUGGAAAAUAAUUGUUGUGUGUGUGUGUGUGUUUGCAUGCGUGCUUGCUGGAUCAUACAGUUAAAGCAGAUAGAACAGGGGAUGGGGGACUCCUCUAUCUCACACUUUGUUUUUUUCCAUUGGCAGCAUGCUAUGGGCCAAUGUGGGGAGGUAGGAGCUAGCUUAGAGUCUGCAGGCUGGAGAUCAUGAAACAGCAGCUGCAGGAGAGCCUGGGGGAAGCUGGGAGCAAAGAAACGCAACCACAGUAGGGGCAUUUACUGGAGUUGGGGAAGUCUUCCCAGGAAAGGGAGCUGAAGCCUGGAAGCUGAGCCAAAAGUAACCUAGGGCUGUGGUAAGAAGGAGCAGAGUGUGGCCAGCAGACAGGACAUGGAGAAGAGGGACCGGGGGCUCCAGAGCAUGUGGGGAGUUGAAGGAACAGAGGAGUCCAGCCUGGCUGGAGUGAGGGGUACAGGUAGGGUGGAUUAGAAAGGUGGCCAAUAGAGUUGUACCACUGUGUGUAUGGGGGGGGUGGUGGUUAUUUUAGAGAGGUCCCUCUCUAUUUGCUCAGCUAGACAGGUGAUAUUAGUGACAGGUAGGAUGCUAGCUCAGUAAAGGUGAUGUGUGAUCUCAGUACCCAGACCAGGGAUUGAAUCCAGGCUGUUUCAAUGAAAGCACUGUAAUCCUAACCACUAGACCACCAGGGAACUCCCAAGAAAUUGAUAGUUUUGUGCAAUAAUCAGGACUGGAAAGGAGAGAUUUCUGGGAAGAUGUAGUGAUUGACUGAAUGCUUUCAAAUCUUGCUCAUUUCUUUUUCAGUUACAGUGGUCUUUUUUUCUGUAGCCACUUUGAAAAGAAUAUGUUUGGUCAUUGUUCUGGUUAUACACAAAUUUUUUUUUUAAGUUUCCCAUUCUCUUAAAUUAAUACAGCCUGACUGAAAACUUGAUUUUGUUGGAAUUCACAUUGCAAUAAAUCUUCAUUAAAAACCAGUUAAUGAAGAUUUAUUUGAAGAAAGAACUCAACUAUGAAAGACAGUUUUCACAGAAUUUUUUCCUAGGUUAAAAAAAAUUGCAACAGUAGUGUCUUGUUUUGAUGGAGGAUUUUAAAGUUUCCGAAGGAAUUCUGGAUCUUUUGACCCAUUUGAUUUUCAGAAAACUCUAGGCAAGGCAGGUAUUAUAUUCCCACUUCUCUCUGGCUUCCUCUUCCCACACCCUUUUUGUUAUUUGUUUAUCCCCAUGUGAAGAGAAAACCUAGACUAACAAAGCCACAUGAGAGCCAGUAAGUCAAGAGGAGCGGGUGUUCAGUGCCAGACCCGGAGUCCGGGAGAUAUUUCUUAAUGCUGUGCUCCUUCUUGGGGCAUGUUUUCAUAAGGACACUAGAUUCCUCAAUAGAAACCUAAUCAAGUUUAUGCCUAAUUUUAAAAAAUAGUAUCCCUAACUGCUUUUUAUCGCAAAGAUUUUUCAGGAAAAUUAAAAUGUAAUCUUGCAUUUCAGGUUACUUUCUCUCCUUUGGUUUAGCUUUUGAAAUGUGUUUCAUCUUAAUGGUGGAGGGACAUCUAACUUCGCCUUAUGAUGCACGUGGAUGUGACUGUGAAUUGAUCAAACUGGGCACACUUGACCUUGAAACUCCUUCUAAGGGGAUGGUAGUGUCCUGGGUAAGAGAGUUUGCUAAAACUCAUGCGAGGGUUCUGGAAAACAGCUCCUUUCAGCAGGGGUCAAGUGGAAUUAUAUAAACAUAAAUGGCUGUUUCUGCCUAGGGAUCUGUGUUUUUAUUUACUUUAAAAAUUGGAACUCUGGGAGUUCCCUGGUGGCACAGCAGGUUAAGGAUCCCAUGUUGUCACUGCUGUGGUUGGCGUUCCAUCCCUGGCCCAGAAACUUCCACAUGCCUCAAGCAUGAUCCAAAAGAAAAAUUGAGCUCCUGUCUUUAGGUAUCCAAUAUAAAUUUGGUGAGUGAAGUGUUUUUUGAACUGAAAAAAUGGUGGCACUUUCAUCUGUAGGAUUUCCCCAGUGUCUAAAGGACAUAUGGGUAUACAUUUGUUCAACUUUGUUCAUUCAACAGAUAAUUGUAAGAGUGCUGGAGCUAUGGCAGAAACAUGACAGCCGUGAACUGUCUCUUGUACCUCUCGUGAAUCCAACAUUGUGGAGAAAUCAGAACAGUAAACAGGCAAAUAAUUGACAAUAUAAUAUAGGGGCUACAACAUAAUAAAAACAAGGGAAUUCAAUACAGGAGUGCUGAUGGGGCAGUAUUAACGUCUUACAUUUGUUUUUUAAAACUAUAGUUGAUUUAUUAUGUCAUGCCAAUUUCUGCUGUACAGCAAAGUGACCCAGUCAUACAUAUGCAUACAUUCCCUUUCUUAUAUUAUCUUCCACAUGGUCUAGACCAAAAGACUGGAUAUAGUUCCCUGAGCUAUACAGUAGGACCUCAUUGCUUAUCUUUAUUUUAUUUUAUUUAUUUAUUUUUUGUCCCUUUAGGGCCACACCAUAUGGAAGUUUCCAGGCUAGGGGUGGAAUCGGACAUGUAGCCACCAGCCUACACCACAGCCACAGCGGUGCGAGAUCCAAGCAGUGUCUGCAACCUAUACCACAGCUUAUAGCAAUGCCGGAUCCUUAGCCCACUGAGCGAGGCCAGGGAUUGGACCUGCAUCUCAUGAAUGCUACUCAGAUUCGUUUCUGCUGAGCCACUACAGGAACUCCUCAUUGCUCAUCUUUAUAGUCUUUUUUCUUUUUUGGCCACCCUGUGACAUAUGGAGCUCCUGGACCAGGGAUCAGAUCAAGCUGCAGCCAUGGCCUAAGCUGCUGCUGUGACAAUGCCAGAUCCCUAACCCGCUAUGUCAGGCCAGGGAUCCAACCUGCGUCCCAGUGCUCCCAAGAUGCCACUGAAGCGGAACUUCUGUAUUUGUUUUUGGGUUCUUCCAAUACUAUUGCUGUUUGCUCAGAGGAGUUUGAAUGGAUUUUUAUUUUUAUUUACUUACUUUUCUGGCCACACUCAUGGCACUUGAAAGUUCCUGGGCCAGGGAUUGAACCUGCUGCAGUGAUGACACUGGAUCCUUAACUCACUGAGCCACCAGGGAACUCCUGAAUGGCUUUUUAAAAAUUAACAACUUAAAACAUAGUGUCCUACCUUAAAAUUUAAAUAUAGAUUAGUAUAAUAAGGCCCGUACAUCAGUUUAAAAAUGGGCUACUGGGGUUCCCAUUGUGGCUAAGUGGAAACGAAUCUGACUAGUAUCCAUGAGGAUGCAGGUUCGAUCCCUGGCCUUGCUCAGUGGGUUAAUAAGGAUCUGGCGUUGCCAUGAGCUGUAGUGUAGGUUGCAGACUGGGCUUGGAUCCUGUAUUACUGUGGCUAUGGUGUAGGCUGGCAGCUACAGCUCUGAUUCGACUCCUAGCCUGGGAACUUCCAUAUGCCAUGGGUGCAGCCCUAAAAAGACACAUACACACAAAAAAAGGUCAUUUCUCUUGAACCACAAAAAGGCUAGCAUGCUCACCAUAGGAUUAAAGAUGACCUAUUUUAGGCUAAAAUGUUUGGAGCGCUUUCCCUAUUAUCCCGGACCAAUCCAACCAUAUUCCCCAUGUCCAUUUGCCACAACAUUGGUCAUUGGCCUCUGCUGCUGAAGUUAGCAGAAAGGAAGGAAACUAGCAAUAAUUGAACCCCACUAGGUGCCAGAUUUGGGGCUUAACACUUUAUGGAUAGAAGAUUAGUUAACUCCAGUAACCUCCCCCUGAGGGUAGGAAGUGGAAUUAUAGACGAGGAAACAGAGGUUCUGCAAAAUCAAGUAACUUGGCCUGGCAAGAGGCAAAAGCAGAUCCUUUUUCAGGCAAUCCAAGUGGUAACUGAUGUCCUCUGAAACAUCAAGAAAUUUUUAAAAAUUUAAAACACAAACCUAUUAAAAGUAACAAUUUGGUGCAUGUGAUGUUUUGGUUUCUUUUGUGUCUCUUUAGGAAGUCCAUUAGCCUUCUUUAUCUCAGUAACUAGGAGGUAAAAUCUCUUACAAUGUGGACUUUAAAAGUUCUUUCCUAGUUUAAAAAAAAAGAGACACACACAGAGAAACAAAAUGCUUCUGUCUCUCCUCUUUGGCUCCAAUAGUCUGUAUAAAUAGCCUUUGAAAAAUAAGUCAUAAUCACUUCUUCACACCAAGACCAGACACCUGAUUCAGAAACUCUCCCUGGGGUAAGUGUGUGUGUGUGUGUGUGUGUGUUGGAAUAACACACCCACAGUGCUUUCCCGAUUCAAGAGAAAUGAUCUCACUGUCCAAUUGUUACCUGCCUAAUGCCUUAAUCAAAAGGUGGGAAAAGUCUGCGGUUUUACCCCUGGUGUGAUCCUCAGCCCUCACUGUUCUUAUUUUAGGCAUGACCUUAGUGUUUUUUCCAGAGUCCAGAGGUGGAAUGACAUGUUACUCAAGUUUACAAGAUGAUGAUGUAUCUGCUUUUAUAUUUAGCUGUAAAUUUUAUUCUACUCAUAAACAAACCCACCUUCGGUAACCACGGUGCAUCAAGGGACAGUUAUUUCCAUUCCCCUUGGUUUAAUUUGGAUACAUUUGGCCUAGAACAGCACAGUGUUUCCAUAAUAACAUCUGAACAGGAUGCUGUGUUGAUCUGCAGGGCUCAGGGAGUUUCAGCAUGGGCCAGGAAACUACUUUCUUAAAAGGAACUUAAACAUCAAAUUCUGACAAGGAUGCCUUUGUGGAGCUGUAUGGGCCCAGCAUGCGGCCUCUAUUUGAUUUCUCCUGGCUGUCUCUGAAGGCG